rnacentral:rRNA from 1 species
AGGACGAACGCUGGCGGCGUGCUUAACACAUGCAAGUCGAGCGGAAAGGCCCUUCGGGGUACUCGAGCGGCGAACGGGUGAGUAACACGUGAGCAACCUGCCCCUGGCUCUGGGAUAGCCUUCGGAAACGGGGAUUAAUACCAGAUACGACCACUUUAGACAUCUGUCGUGGUGGAAAGGAUUCCGGCUAGGGAUGGGCUCGCGGCCUAUCAGCUUGUUGGUGAGGUAACGGCUCACCAAGGCGACGAUGGGUAGCUGGUCUGAGAGGACGAUCAGCCACACUGGGACUGAGACACGGCCCAGACUCCUACGGGAGGCAGCAGUGGGGAAUCUUGCGCAAUGCGCGAAAGCGUGACGCAGCAACGCCGCGUGGGGGAAGAAGGCCUUCGGGUUGUAAACCCCUUUCAGUUGGGACGAAGCUUCGCCGGUGAAUAGCCGGUUGGAGUGACGGUACCUUCAGAAGAAGCCCCGGCUAACUACGUGCCAGCAGCCGCGGUAA